CUACCUUCGAAUCGGGGGUAACAUCGCGAAAGCGGUGCUAAUACCGGAUAAUAUCUAUAAGGCUACGGUCUGAUAGAUCAAAGGUGGCCUCUAUAUAUAAGCUACUGUUUGAAGAUGAGCCCGCGUACCAUUAGCUAGUUGGUGGGGUAAGAGCCCACCAAGGCGACGAUGGUUAGCUGGUCUGAGAGGAUGAUCAGCCACACUGGAACUGACACACGGUCCAG
rnacentral:rRNA from 1 species